rnacentral:sRNA from 1 species
UCUCUCGCAGGAUCUUCAGCGCGCGCUC